rnacentral:piRNA from 1 species
CCAAGGACUGGAUGUAAGCAGAUCUU